rnacentral:tRNA from 1 species
GGCCCCGUAGCUCAACAUGGAUAGAGCAGAGGUUUCCUAAACCUUUGGUUGGAGGUUCGAGUCCUCUCGGGGCUAC